AAGCAGGGGAUCGCAAGACCUUGCGCUUUUGGAGUGGCCGAUGCCUGAUUAGCUAGUUGGUGGGGUAAUGGCCUACCAAGGCAACGAUCAGUAGUUGGUCUGAGAGGACGACCAGCCACACUGGGACUGAGACACGGCCCAGACUCCUACGGGAGGCAGCAGUGGGGAAUUUUGGACAAUGGGCGAAAGCCUGAUCCAGCAAUGCCGCGUGAGUGAAGAAGGCCUUCGGGUUGUAAAGCUCUUUCAGUCGGGAAGAAAAGGUUGUGACUAAUAAUCACAAUUCAUGACGGUACCGACAGAAGAAGCACCGGCUAACUACGUGCCAGCAGCCGCGGUAAUACGUAGGGUGCGAGCGUUAAUCGGAAUUACUGGGCGUAAAGGGUGCGCAGGCGGCUUUGUAAGUCAGAUGUGAAAUCCCCGGGCUUAACCUGGGAAUUGCGUUUGAAACUACAAGACUAGAGU
rnacentral:rRNA from 1 species